UACGUAGGGUGCGAGCGUUGUCCGGAAUUAUUGGGCGUAAAGGGCUCGUAGGCGGUUUGUCGCGUCGGGAGUGAAAUCAUCUGGCUUAACUGGGUGCUUGCUUUCGAUACGGGCAGACUAGAGGUAUGCAGGGGAGAACGGAAUUCCUGGUGUAGCGGUGAAAUGCGCAGAUAUCAGGAGGAACACCGAUGGCGAAGGCAGGUCUCUGGGCCACUACUGACGCUGAGGAGCGAAAGCGUGGGGAGCAAACAGG
rnacentral:rRNA from 1 species